rnacentral:rRNA from 1 species
AGACAGGUGCUGCAUGGCUGUCGUCAGCUCGUGUCGUGAGAUGUUGGGUUAAGUCCCGCAACGAGCGCAACCCUUGUCUUUAGUUGCCAUCAUUCAGUUGGGCACUCUAAAGAGACUGCCGGUGUCAAACCGGAGGAAGGUGGGAGUGACGUCAAAUCAUCAUGCCCCUUAUGACCUGGGCUACACACGUGCUACAAUGGUUGGUACAACGAGUUGCGAGUCGGUGACGGCGAGCUAAUCUCUUAAAGCCAAUCUCAGUUCGGAUUGUAGGCUGCAACUCGCCUACAUGAAGUCGGAAUCGCUAGUAAUCGCGGAUCAGCACGCCCGCGGUCGAAUACGUUCCCGGGCCUU